rnacentral:rRNA from 1 species
GUUGAUAAGGUUAAGUGAAUAAGGGCGCACGGUGGAUGCCUUGGCACUAGGAGCCGAUGAAGGACGGGACUAACACCGAUAUGCUUUGGGGAGCUGUACGUAAGCUAUGAUCCAGAGAUUUCCGAAUGGGGGAACCCAGCAUCUUUUAUAGGAUGUUACAAAUAUGUGAAUACAUAGCAUAUUUGAGGUAGACGCAGAGAACUGAAACAUCUAAGUACCUGCAGGAAGAGAAAGAAAAUUCGAUUCCCUGAGUAGCGGCGAGCGAAACGGGAAAAGCCCAAACCAACAAGCUUGCUUGUUGGGGUUGUAGGACUCCGAUAUGGUAGUUUUUUCAGAUAAUCGAAUGACUUGGAAAAGUCAGUCAAAGAGGGUAAAAACCCCGUAGAUGAAAUUUGGAAGACACCUAGGAGGAUCCUGAGUACGGCGGAACACGAGAAAUUCCGUCGGAAUCCGCGG